CUCAGAACGAACGCUGGCGGCAGGCCUAACACAUGCAAGUCGAACGGAUCCUUCGGGAUUAGUGGCAGACGGGUGAGUAACGCGUGGGAAGCUACCUUGUGGUAGGGAACAACAGUUGGAAACGACUGCUAAUACCCUAUGAGCCCUAUGGGGGAAAGAUUUAUCGCCAUGAGAUGUGCCCGCGUUAGAUUAGCUAGUUGGUAAGGUAAUGGCUUACCAAGGCGACGAUCUAUAGCUGGUCUGAGAGGAUGAUCAGCCACACUGGGACUGAGACACGGCCCAGACUCCUACGGGAGGCAGCAGUGGGGAAUAUUGGACAAUGGGGGCAACCCUGAUCCAGCCAUGCCGCGUGAGUGAUGACGGCCUUAGGGUUGUAAAGCUCUUUCAGCAGUGAAGAUAAUGACAUUAACUGCAGAAGAAGCCCCGGCUAACUUCGUGCCAGCAGCCGCGGUAAUACGAAGGGGGCUAGCGUUGUUCGGAAUCACUGGGCGUAAAGCGUACGUAGGCGGACUGAUCAGUCAGGGGUGAAAUCCCGGGGCUCAACCCCGGAACUGCCUUUGAUACUGUCAGUCUUGAGAUCGAGAGAGGUGAGUGGAACUCCGAGUGUAGAGGUGAAAUUCGUAGAUAUUCGGAAGAACACCAGUGGCGAAGGCGGCUCACUGGCUCGAUAC
rnacentral:rRNA from 1 species